UGUAACCUGGGAUGUUCGACAACUCCUGCCGUUUUGAACCUACAUUUACUUUAAACGGGAUUCCUACAUUGCCAACUGGAUGUCAGGCCCCCAUUUGACAGGGGAAGACAGAAGGACGGUUGCGGUUACCCACCUGGCCUGGCUAGGAGUCAAAAGGUAGGAACCGGCAUUUCGGGGCUACU
rnacentral:other from 1 species